UCAACUGGGCAGUGGUGGAAACCGUUGUGCUGGACGGCGGUGCUACUGAGCUCGGCGACGGCGUCGAUUUUCCACUCGUUGUGCCGCUCGGAAUGUCGACCUUCGGUGCCGGGUCGGCAACAGGAACACGGCCGAAGCU
rnacentral:sRNA from 13 species